UACGAAGGGGGCUAGCGUUGUUCGGAAUUACUGGGCGUAAAGCGCGUGUAGGCGGGUCUUUAAGUCAGGGGUGAAAUGCCAAGGCUCAACCUUGGAACUGCCUUUGAUACUGGAGACCUUGAGUCCGGGAGAGGUGAGUGGAAUUGCGAGUGUAGAGGUGAAAUUCGUAGAUAUUCGCAAGAACACCAGUGGCGAAGGCGGCUCACUGGUCCGGUACUGACGCUGAGGUGCGAAAGCGUGGGGAGCAAACAGG
rnacentral:rRNA from 1 species